CGUACGCUUCUUUUUCACCGGAGCUUGCUCCACCGGAAAAAGAAGAGUGGCGAACGGGUGAGUAACACGUGGGUAACCUGCCCAUCAGAAGGGGAUAACACUUGGAAACAGGUGCUAAUACCGUAUAACAAUCGAAACCGCAUGGUUUUGAUUUGAAAGGCGCUUUCGGGUGUCGCUGAUGGAUGGACCCGCGGUGCAUUAGCUAGUUGGUGAGGUAACGGCUCACCAAGGCCACGAUGCAUAGCCGACCUGAGAGGGUGAUCGGCCACAUUGGGACUGAGACACGGCCCAAACUCCUACGGGAGGCAGCAGUAGGGAAUCUUCGGCAAUGGACGAAAGUCUGACCGAGCAACGCCGCGUGAGUGAAGAAGGUUUUCGGAUCGUAAAACUCUGUUGUUAGAGAAGAACAAGGAUGAGAGUAACUGUUCAUCCCUUGACGGUAUCUAACCAGAAAGCCACGGCUAACUACGUGCCAGCAGCCGCGGUAAUACGUAGGUGGCAAGCGUUGUCCGGAUUUAUUGGGCGUAAAGCGAGCGCAGGCGGUUUCUUAAGUCUGAUGUGAAAGCCCCCGGCUCAACCGGGGAGGGUCAUUGGAAACUGGGAGACUUGAGUGCAGAAGAGGAGAGUGGAAUUCCAUGUGUAGCGGUGAAAUGCGUAGAUAUAUGGAGGAACACCAGUGGCGAAGGCGGCUCUCUGGUCUGUAACUGACGCUGAGGCUCGAAAGCGUGGGGAGCAAACAGGAUUAGAUACCCUGGUAGUCCACGCCGUAAACGAUGAGUGCUAAGUGUUGGAGGGUUUCCGCCCUUCAGUGCUGCAGCUAACGCAUUAAGCACUCCGCCUGGGGAGUACGACCGCAAGGUUGAAACUCAAAGGAAUUGACGGGGGCCCGCACAAGCGGUGGAGCAUGUGGUUUAAUUCGAAGCAACGCGAAGAACCUUACCAGGUCUUGACAUCCUUUGACCACUCUAGAGAUAGAGCUUCCCCUUCGGGGGCAAAGUGACAGGUGGUGCAUGGUUGUCGUCAGCUCGUGUCGUGAGAUGUUGGGUUAAGUCCCGCAACGAGCGCAACCCUUAUUGUUAGUUGCCAUCAUUUAGUUGGGCACUCUAGCAAGACUGCCGGUGACAAACCGGAGGAAGGUGGGGAUGACGUCAAAUCAUCAUGCCCCUUAUGACCUGGGCUACACACGUGCUACAAUGGGAAGUACAACGAGUCGCGAAGUCGCGAGGCUAAGCUAAUCUCUUAAAGCUUCUCUCAGUUCGGAUUGUAGGCUGCAACUCGCCUACAUGAAGCCGGAAUCGCUAGUAAUCGCGGAUCAGCACGCCGCGGUGAAUACGUUCCCGGGCCUUGUACACACCGCCCGUCACACCACGAGAGUUUGUAACACCCGAAGUCGGUGAGGUAACCUU
rnacentral:rRNA from 1 species